rnacentral:rRNA from 1 species
AUGGGGAAGAGCGAGGCUACGCCGACGGUGACGAAGGGGGAAGGGGAGGAGCUGGUGCUGACGAUGCUCGAGGUGGAUCCCGCCACCGAGGACCCUGACCUCCUCGACGCCAUCAGGAAGAAGAACAGUGCUGCCCUGACCUCCAUUCUUGAUCCCCAUGACGAGCUCUCCGCCAAAGACAGUUCGAAUGCGGCUGCUGCUGUUUGGUAUUUCGUCAUGAAUGGCCACCACAUAACUGGCAAUCUGAACCUGCUGACGGACCUCACGCCUGUGUGUGACCGUUGGGUCCGUUCUCUCAUUGGGACAGGGCCGCCCAUGCAAGUCUGUGCACGGGGAUCUGUGAACUGCAACGGGAUCAAGCUCGAUGACGUAUGGUAUGUUCCCGGGGUCACGGUGAACAUGGUGGCGGGUGCCCAUUUUAGCAAUCAGGAAAUUUCACUCACUCUGGAUCGCAGUGCCUUUUCUCUUAAGCGCCCUGAUGGCACAGUAGUCGGCAAAGGACGUGUUAAAGGCAAUCUGUAUGAAGUAGACUUUCUCGACAUCAGUAGUACAACAGCUCCCUGGUACAUCGUCUCGAAUGCUGCUGAACACAUGACCGGCAACCUGCACCUCCUGAGCAACUUCACCCCCACCCAGCCAGGCCGCCAAGUCCGGACGCACACCGGUGCGAUGCUGCAGGUGCGCGGGAAGGGGUCUCUGAGCUCCACCCAGCUCUCCAUUCCCAGCGUCAGCUACGUCCCAGGGCUCACCGAGAACAUCAUCUCAGUGACCCAGCUCACUGACAGCGGCUUCAGUGUCGCGUUCAGUCCUCAUGGCUGCACCAUCACAAGGAACCGCGAUGGGAAGACGGUCGGCUGCGCGUACCAUGCCGGUGGCCAGCUCUACCUGCUCGACUACCUCAGGGUUGCUGACAGCAAGUAG